ACUUUUCGAGCAUGUUUAGGCCCUUUAAAAAUGCGAUUCAUUUUGGAGAAGAAUAAUAAUAAUAAUAAUUAAAGCUGCAAGCAGCGAUGAACGGGCCCUCGCACCCGGGCUCACCACCACCGCGUGGCUUUUGUAAAACAGCGAACGGUGAGAAAUAUGCGUUUAAUGUGGUAAAUAGAAAUAUGGCAAAGUCAUUUAUAUGUGCCAAUCUUCCUGCUGCCAGCUGGUGGCGCUAUGACUAUAACUGGAUUUUGUCAUGUAGAUUUCUUCAGUCCAGCACUUUUAUCAAGCAUAUGAAAUUUAGUGCAGAUUGAACAUGGAAUGUUUGAGUUAGUAUAAAGCAUGUUGUGUCCUAUUGCCAACAGGUGGCGCUAUGAUUAUAACUGAACAUUGACCUUCAGAUGUGUUCAGGCCAAGACUCUUUUCGAACAUGUGAAGUUUGGGGAAAGAUCGGACAUCUUAUGCCUGAGUUACAACAACUUCUAUUCCCAUGGCGAGACAUCGAACUUUGUCACGGCGCCAUGGCCACACCCUUUAAUGAAAACCUCAAGAUGUUCACAAUUUAACAUCGCAAAGGCCUUUAGAUUAGACUGACCAAAAAUUAUAAAAUGUCAUAAAAAUUUCUAGGAGUAGUUUGUUACAGCGUAAAACAUGUCACUUCCUGUUGCCAGCAGGUGGCGCUAUAGCGAUAUCUGAAUAUUGGGCAUGUAGAUAUGUUCAGGUCAGGAGUCUUCUCAAACAUGUGAAGUUUGGGGGCAGAUUGGACAUUGUAUGUCUGAGUUAUAGCAACUUCCUUUCUCAUGGCAAAACAUCGAAAUUUGUAAGGCCGCCACAGACACGCCCUUAAACGAAACCUCAAGAUCUUCGCAAUUUAACAUCGCAAAGGCCUUUAGAUUACACUGACAAAGUUUGAUGUUGAUCUGAAUAAAUCUCUAGGAGGAGUUUGUUAAAGUACAACCCCUGAAAAUGGCAAAAACGACACAAAUUUUGCAGAGAAAAUUCAAAAAUAACUGACUUCCUGUUGGGAUUCGAAUUUCGUACCAAGAGACUUUUUUGUAGGUAUUGGUGUGUUAAAUGUAUGUACCGAUUUUUGUACAUGUACGUAUAACGUAGCUCGAGGCGCACUCCGUUGAAAAUGUAUAGGUGGCGCUAUCGAGGCAUUUUGCCACACCCAAUGGAAUAUUGGCCUUCAGAUGUGUUCAGACCAGGACUCUUAUCAAACAUGUGAAGUUUGGGCAAGAUCGGACAUUUUAUGCCUGAGUUACAAUAACUUUUAUUCCCAUGGCGAGACAUCGAACUUUGUGACGGCGCCACGGACACGGCCUUUUUACGAAAACUCAAGAUCUCCACAAUUUAACAUCGCACAGGCCUUUAGAAUAGAGUGACUGAAAAAAAAUAUUUAUGUCAUAAAAUUUCUCGGGGUAGUUUGUUACAGCGUAAAAUAUGUCACUUCCUGUUGCCAAUAGGUGGCGCUAUGACUAUAACUGAAUAUAAGCAUGUCAAUCUGUUCAGGUCAGGAGUCUUAUCAAACAUGUGAAGUUUGUGGAAGAUUGGACAUUGUAUGUCUGAGUUAUAGCAACUUCAUUUUUCAUGGCGAAUCAUCGAAAUUCGUCAGGCCGCCAUGGACACGCCCUUCAACGAAAACUCAAGAUCUUCGCAAUUUAACAUCGCAAAGGCCUUUAGAUUAGGCAUACUAAAUUUGGUGUUGAUCUGAAUUAAUCUCUAGGUGGAGUUCGUUAAAAUACAAGGCAUGCAAAUGACAAAAAUGAUGCAAAAUUUGCUCAUAAAAUUAAAAAUAACCGACUUCCUGUUGGGUUUCGGAUAUUGCUCCAAGAGUCUUUUUUUGUAGGUACUGAUGCUUUACAUAUGUGUGCCAAUUUUCGUGCAUGUACGUGAAACACAGCUCGAGGGCUGUUGAUUUUUUUACGAUAGGUGGCGCUGUCGAGCCAUUUUGCCACACCCUCUUCUGAAACCUAUAUCAGAUGUAAAUUUUCACCAGGUCUGACGCGUGUGCAAAGUUUCAGGACUUUUCGAGCAUGUUUAGGCCCUCAAAAAUGCGAUUCAUUUUGGAGAAGAAGAAGAAGAAUAAACGAAGCAGAUACAAGAGGGUCCUCACACCAUCGGUGCUCGGGCCCUAAUUAAAGCUGCAAGCAGCGAUGAACGGGCCCUCGCACCCGGGACUCACCACCACCGAGCGGCUUUUUGUAAAAAAGGC
ensembl:lncRNA